rnacentral:rRNA from 1 species
AUUGAACGCUGGCGGCAUGCCUUACACAUGCAAGUCGAACGGCAGCACGGGAGCAAUCCUGGUGGCGAGUGGCGAACGGGUGAGUAAAGCAUCGGAACGUGCCCAGUCGUGGGGGAUAACGUAGCGAAAGCUACGCUAAUACCGCAUACGAUCUGUGGAUGAAAGCGGGGGACCGUAAGGCCUCGCGCGAUUGGAGCGGCCGAUGUCAGAUUAGGUAGUUGGUGAGGUAAAGGCUCACCAAGCCGACGAUCUGUAGCUGGUCUGAGAGGACGAACAGCCACACUGGGACUGAGACACGGGCCAGACUCCUACGGGAGGCAGCAGUGGGGAAUUUUGGACAAUGGGCGCAAGCCUGAUCCAGCAAUGCCGCGCGCAGGAUGAAGGCAUUCGGGUUGUAAACUGCUUUUGUACGGAGCGAAACGGCUUCCACUAAUACUGGGGGCUAAUGACGGUACCGUAAGAAUAAGCACCGGCUAACUACGUGCCAGCAGCCGCCGUAAUAC